GGCGGGGUAGCUCAGUUGGAAGAGCGUUGGAUACCAUCUGCAGAUGCGCCAAAGGUCGGCGGUUCGAGUCCGUCUCCCGCUU
rnacentral:tRNA from 1 species